rnacentral:lncRNA from 1 species
GGUAAUUGGCACAAAACGUCCCUACCUUUCAAGUCUAUUGUGGAAAACGUUCCUACCUUUCAUUUUUUGGCAUUUUUGCCCUCAUUUCAACCUUUCUUUGCGCUGGACGUCCUUCCGUCUAUAUUCCGUCAGUUUUUCCGUUAAACAUUCGGGUAAUUGGCACAAAACGUCCCUACCAUUCAAGUCUAUUGUGAAAAACGUCCCUACCUUUCAUUUUUUGACAUUUUUGCCCUUAUUUCAACCUUUCUUUGCGCUGGACGUCCUUCUGUCCAUAUUCCGUCAGUUUUUUCGUUAAUUAAAUACAAAAAUACCUUUUUCUUUCCAUAAACAAGGGUAAAAUUGUCCUCACCCACUUCACCCCUUUUUCCCGCCAUCAACUUAGUCCAUAAGUAACAAUAGCAGCAACAUGAAUCUGAAAAUACUUUAAAUGAUUAAGUUAAAUAAAGAAAAAAUAUCGUAAACACAUUAUAUUUCACAAUUCCACAACUACUGUUGCUGUCAUCUUGUGUCACUAAAAAAAUUUAGAAAGACAUAUUAAAUGGGUAGUCAAUUUAUAAUGAGUCAAUUUAAAAUGAGCAAUUCAUCUUCUCCAUUGAGCCAAAAAGAGCCAUUCACCAUUUUGGCUUAUUAUAAAUUGACUACCCAUUUAAUACGUCUUUCU